AAUAAUAAUUUGUCAUAUUUAAAGGCAAGCUCCACUAUUGUUGUGAAUUGUAGAUUACAGACACAUUCAUUCCUUGAU